GCCUCACCGGCAGUGCCCUAGUCUUCCAGGCAUCCACUGACUUUCUCCUGCAGCCUCCUCCUUCCCCCAAAGUCAGAGGAUGUAGACUGCUCUGAAGGGGGAGAGGGGAGAAAGGGGCUCAAUGCUCAUUCCCUGGCGUUUCUGACAGCUCAGCCUGCUGCCCUCUCUCUCCUGGGCUCAAGAACAGUAUGUGGGAAUACGGACACAUUCCCCAAGGCUCUGUUACCGGCUCCUGACACAGAAUUCCACAUUUUUGGCCCCUCAUUUCCCACUUCCCAUGCUAAUCUGCCGCUUCUUGGACGGUGCUUUUUAUUUCUGGUGGAAGCAUUGAGUAUUGGUGGAACUGAAUACUAAGCUGUCUGGCAAAGUAGAAAUCUAAUCUCCAGAGGCUCAGCUCCAGCAUCAUAAAGAAAAGUAUAUCCCCAGAGUCAAAGCAUAAAGGAAAAGAAUAGGUGUAUGGAUUUGGACAGAGAGGAAACCAUAUACAUAUGCCUAAUGAUUUAUAUAUUGGUUUACUCAUUACAUUAAAAAAUAAUAACAAAGGACUGAGAUUAACCUCAGUUAAUAACAAAGGACUGAGAUAGUCCUUUGAUUAUUCAUCAAAGAGGGACAGAUCAAAUAGAUUUUCAGAUAUCUGUACAAAAACUGCUAUCUAGGUGUAUAAAAAAUGAAGACUACCUUUAUGUAUGAAAUAAUCUCCAAAAGAUAUUGUUAAGUGGAAAAAUCUCUCUUACACCAUUGUUCCAGUCUAGCCUGGUUGGUCCAUAUGGUGACUGCACAGGUAUCUGGGACUCCUCUUUACUACUCUUCUGAAUCUACUCUUCCUGGGUCCUAAGUCUUACUCAUUCUUCAGUCGUUUCUCAAGAAGUGAUAGAUAGGAAAUUAAAAGCGAGUUGAAAAACAGUGCAUACAGUAUACUACUAUUUGUGUAAAAUUUGUGGGAUAAUGCAUGUGAAUUUCAUUAUGCAGUUAUGCACUGCAUGAUGAUGUUUUGGUUGAUGACAGAUUGCACAUAUGAUGGUAGUCCCCUAAGAUUAUAAUGGAGCUGAAAAACUCCUAUCCCCUAGCAAUGUCAUAGCCAUCAAAAGGUAAAGACAUAGCACAAUGCAUUACCCACAUAUUUGUAGUGAUCCUGGUGUAAACAAACCAACUGUGCUGCCAGUCAUAUCAAAGGAUAGCACAUAUUAUUAUGUACAGUACAUAAUACUUACUAAUGAAUGACUGUUACUGGUUUAUGUAUUAAGCUUACUAUACUCUUUCAUCAUUAUUUUGGAGUGUACUUUUUCUACGUAUUAAAAAAAAUUAACUGCAAAACAACCUCGGGCAGGUUCUUCAGGAGGGAUUCCAAAAGACGGCAUUGUUACCAUAGGAGAUGACAGCUCCAUAUGUUAUUGUCCCUGAAAACCAUUCAAUGAAACAAGAUGUGGAGGUGGAAGACAGUAAUAUUGAUGAUCCUGACCCUGUGUAAGCCUAGGUUAACAUGUGCAUUUGUGUCUUAGUUUCUAACAAAAGCAUUUAUAAAGUAAAAAUGUUACAGUAACCUAAAGUUAAUUUAUUAUUGAAGAAAGAAAAAUAUUUUAAGAUAAAUUUAGUGUAGCCUAAGUGUAGAGUGUUUAUAAAGUCUACAGUAGUGUAGAGUAAUGUACUAGACCUCCACGUUCACCUGCCACUCACUCACUGACUCACCCAGAGCAACUUCCAGUCCCACAAGCUCCAUUCAUGAAUAAACCUCCAGUCUUCUGCUGGGGUGUAGGAGGAUCACUCUUCUGGAUGCACCGAGUAGAAGAGAGAAUCUGGGGAUCUGCCUACUUCUGUAACAGACUUUCAAGCCGCCUUCCUGUUUUUAUGCUCACCAUCACCCCUACUUUCAGAGGUGAGCUGUGCCACCACAUUACUGAGCACGUGAGACACGCUAUGGCGUAAUCUGGAUAUUUGCUUCCACUACGGAGCUCUGAAUUCAGCUUUCUGGGGACCACCGAGUCAGUUACUGAUUAUCACUGUGCCUUCCAGCUUUCUGAUUUUUUUUUUUCCUGCUGUCUUUCCCCUGUGUUCUUGUCCCAGUAAGUUAAUGAAACAUGCUUGUUCUUCUGCCUUGUAAUGCCUUCAUUAACAUUUUAGUGGGCUUUCAGAAAGUAGCAGUGGUUAAAAUGGAUGAGUUCAACUGUAUUUCUCUAACCCAAAGUCCUCUGGCUAAGUCUCUAAGGUGAUGUCUGUGAGCACACAAAGCCUGCACAAUUCUAUCUAUUGGCAAAAACACUCCUCUCCUGAGCUGAUAUACCUUUGCUUAGAUAAAGGAUCCUUGAGAUCUAAACUCCACAAGUAAGUUAUCUGAUUAUUUUGGAAGGUUUACUUAUUCAUUUCAUCAAAUAAACAUCUGUAGAGGAUUUAAGUAUGAAGAUUCUCUGAACACAAAAAGAGAUAAGAUACAGAUUUGCCCUUUGGCCUAAUUGAAGAAGCAACAGAAGAAACUGAGAAUUGCACAACUAAUGGGUAACUGGUGUUAACAAUGCUAAGCUCUUUUAUUAACUUACCUUUUAAAAUCUCUACACAAGUAUCUCUGUUUUACACAGGUAUCAACCAAGGCUUAGCUUAAAUGCUUUUGCCCAAGUUGCAAAAACUAGUGGCAGAGCCAGGAUUCAAACACAGAUCUUUCUUAAUGUAAAAUUUAUCUCUGUUACAGUGCUAUACAUAAAAAUGAAAGUAAGCGCUGCCACAGAAAUUUGUACAAGGUACAAUAGUGCCAUAUAUUAAGAGCCUUUUCAUUCGAAGUGAUUGCUUUUCAGUAAUUACUUUCGGUAAUUCAGAUUUAACAAACCUGAGCCAAAUCAGUUUAAACAAAAAAGUUCAUUUAAUGGGAAAGUCCAAGUAAUGCAGGGCAGGCGAGCCCCUACAUUGGGGCUUAACCUGGGAGAAUUCUUGGCUUCUCUCAGAAAAGAAUUCCGAGAUGAGCCAGUGGUAAUAGACAGCAGCUUUUAUUGAAGUGGCAAUGUAUGGCAGCAGCAGAGGUACUGCUCCUCUCAGGGGCAGUGUGCACUGUGCAGCAGCUCAGAGGUUGUUCUGCAGUCCUAUUUAUACCUACUUCUAAUUGCAUGCAAAUUAAGAGACAAGUUAUUCAGAAAUUUCUAGAAAAGGGGUGGUGACAUUGAGUAUUGCCAUGGUAAUGGUAAAUUUUCAUGGCACUGGUGAACAUGUCUUAUGGGGAGGCGCCUUCCAUGCCUCUUUCCUGCUUCAGCCAGUCUUCAAUUUAUAUGAAGGGCAGCUCCCUAAAAUAGUAGAUGGAGUCGAGUCCUGCCUCCUAGGGACACAUUUUGCUUCAGAUUUGUCUGGAUCCAAGGGGUCACAGGGAUUGUGCCUCUUUUUCAAUUUUUCUGAUGUGCUUGGUUCUAUGUGGCUUUUUCUUAGACAGAUUUCUUCACCUAUAGACAAGAAGACCCCAUUCUGCUCCUUAUGAACAUGUGUCUCCACCUUUAUUACUCUCAGCCAUGGAAAGAGCCACUUACAAUAAAAUUUUCAGAAAAAUAGGACAGGAGAGAAUGUUCUCAAUUUAGCAAAAGAAACUUAUUAAAAAACUACAUCUUACAUCAUAGUUAAUGGUUGAAGACUGAGUACUUUCCCCAAAAGACUGGAAACAAACUAAGAUUAUUCUCUCUCCUCUAUGUUUGGUGAAGAGCCUAGCUUGUUGAAAUAUGACAGAAAAAUGAAAUAAAAUGCCAAUGGAUUGAAAAGGAAGAGGACAAAUAAGCAUUGUUCACCUAAAAUAAUUGCUUAUGUAGAAAAUUAUUUUAAAAAUUACAAAACAAAAAUACCAGAGCUAAAAAAUGAAUUCAGGUCUCAGGAUACAACGUCAUCAAACAUAAAUCAACUGUGUUUCUAUAUACUGGCCACAAAAAUUUGGAAAGUUACAUUAAUACAUACAUCAUUUAUAGUAGCAUCCCAAACUAACUUAGGAAUAAAUUUAAUGAAAGAUGUGCAAAUGUCUAAACUGAAAACUUUAAAACCUUGCUCUGAGAAAGAAAAAUAAUAUGAAUAAAUGCAAGAUACAUGAUAUUCAUGGAAUGGAAGAUACAAUGUUAUUAACAUGUCCGUCUAUUAGAUCUGUAGAUUUAAUGCAAUUCCAGUACACAUAUUGUAUCAAUAUGUUCAAAAUUCUCAGAAAAAUUAAGCUUUAAACUGGAGGUUUAAAUUAACUUUUAAACUGGAAGUUAAACCCUACCAUUGCCAAUCAAAGAAGAAGGCAAAAAAGAGGCAAUUUCAGACAGGCAAUUUCUAUAAAAUUUGUAUUUCAUGUACAUUUUCUCUAGAAAUUAAUAGAAAAAUUUUCAAUCAAAAUGAGGAAGAAAACUAUUACAGUUGAGAGGAAUGUAAGGAGAAUUGAAAAUUAAAUGUAAUGGGGUAACCUGGAUGACCUGGCACAGAAAAAUGACAUUAGGUGAACACUGAAGCUAUAUAAAUACAGACUUUAGUUAAUGAAAAUGUAACAACAUUGGUUUAUUAAUUGUAAUAAGUGUACCAUACUAAGGUAAGAUUUAAUAUUAGGGGACAUGAGAGUGGGGUAUAUGAGAACUCUCUGUACUACGUUCUCAAUUUUUCUAUAAAUCUAAAACUAUUCUAAAAAAUGAAGUUCACUUUAAAAAUGGAGAGAGAAAUGAAGAAACAGGAAAACAGAAUCUAGAAAACAGGUUACCUAACACAGGUAUGAGGUGAAGAGAAUUCCCAGAAAGAUGGUGACAAGAGAUCUCAAAAUGUUAGAUUUUCAACAAAGCUAGAGGACAUCCCAUUAAACUUCUGAUCUGGUAGUAGAUCACAAGUUUCUUAGGAUGACAUUUUUGAGAAGAUGAAAUUUUUGAAAUAUCAGCUAACAUCAUAUGGCUACAACUGUAUAUAGUGAGAAAAGAUAUAUACAAAUGGAGAAGAGGUCAUGAGGAUAAUUCAAGGAAAUCAUAGACUAUCAAAGCA
rnacentral:lncRNA from 10 species